ensembl:lncRNA
GGCAUCUAAAAAUGUCACAGAUGGUUUCACUGGAGGAUUACAAUGUGCAGAGAUCCAAACACAUCUGUUUAUUUACCUCUUCUCUUGAGCGCCUCAGUUAUGGGACUAGUUGAGAGGCAAAUGGUAUAAAGGAAAAAAUGCUGGCUAUGGAGUCCAGGCAGACUCGGGUUCCAAAGCUUGUGCUCUAAAGUGUUCCUGUGAUCACACAGGACUUAGCUAACUUCUCUGAGCACCAGUUCCUCUCUCAGUAAAGUUGGGAUGGCAAUAUGACACCCCUCAGAACUCCUUAAGUUGCAAGUGAUGGAAACUCAGCUUGAACUUGCUUCAUCCAAAAAGGGACUCUAUUAGCUCCUGGAGCCCAGUGAAGGAAAGGCCGGGCCUCAGAGCUGGCUGGAUUCAAGGGCUGGAUCUCCACCGGGACUGCCAGGUUCUUCUCUUUGCCGACUCUGAAAAUUGGUUUCAUCUUCUCCUUCCGAAAAAGGCCAGGAACAUGCUCUAGACUCAGAUCUUUUCAGAUGAGCAACCUUUGCCCUUUGAGGCUCCACUGAAGAUGUUUGCAGGGAACUUGAUUCCUUAGCCAAGGACCCUGCCCAGCUUGGACCAAUCAUGGAGGUGGCAGGAGGCGGUGCUGCGCUUGGAUCAGCCUGGGUCAGGGGACAGCCCAGUGGUCAUGUGUUGGAGCUUGGGAGGAAAUCACCAAUAGCUGUCCCAGUGUGCCCACUUCCUUUGAAGCCACCCUUGCAGGGAUUGCAGAUUCUGCUCCUGUGGGGCAAAACAAACAGAAAAACAAAACAAAACAAAAACCCCUGCAAGGACCAGAGUAAGAAAAAGAGCAGGAAAGAGCGAGGCUGGUUGCUAGGCAACUGUGCAACAAUGACAGCAGUCUGCAUGGAGGCUGAUGAUACCAGAAGCCUGUGGAAUUGCCUGCAGUCUUUGAUUUCUGUUUUAGGUGGAACGACGCACCAAUUUAGGACACUACCUUGAUGGAAUUUUGUAAAGGCAUUUGCUUCUGACACUUAAUGUGUUGGAGCUCAAGAAAAGUUUCCCUCUUUGGUGGUGAAGAAAGCCUGCAAACUACCAUUGUUU